UAACAUUGGCGAAGGUAUGUACGUUGAUUUAUUUUGAUUGAUAGUUUUUGUAGAACCCUUAUGUCUCUUCUUAAUACUCAAAGUUUUAAUUUUGUAAUGUACUAACCUUGCUCAACGAUA
rnacentral:pre_miRNA from 1 species